GGAGAGUUGGCAGAGUGGUCGAAUGCGGUAGUCUUGAAAACUAUUGUGCAGCAAUGUACCGGGGGUUCGAAUCCCUCACUCUCCGCCA
rnacentral:tRNA from 1 species